CACGUAGGGGGCGAGCGUUGUCCGGAUUUAUUGGGCGUAAAGAGCUCGUAGGCGGCUCACUAAGUCGGGUGUGAAACCUCCAGGCUCAACCUGGAGACGCCACCCGAUACUGGUAUGGCUAGAGUCCGGUAGGGGAGCGUGGAAUUCCUGGUGUAGCGGUGAAAUGCGCAGAUAUCAGGAGGAACACCAGCGGCGAAGGCGGCGCUCUGGGCCGGAACUGACGCUGAGGAGCGAAAGCAUGGGGAGCAAACAGG
rnacentral:rRNA from 1 species